rnacentral:rRNA from 1 species
UACGUAGGCAGCGAGCGUUGUUCGGAGUUACUGGGCGUAAAGGGUGUGUAGGCGGUUGUUUAAGUUUGGUGGGAAAUCUCCCGGCUCAACUGGGAGGGUGCGCCGAAUACUGAAUAACUAGAGUGCGGGAGAGGAAAGUGGAAUUCCUGGUGUAGCGGUGAAAUGCGUAGAUAUCAGGAGGAACACCGGUGGUGUAGACGGCUUUCUGGACCGUAACUGACGCUGAGACACGAAAGCGUGGGUAGCAAACAGG